UACGGAGGGUGCAAGCGUUAUCCGGAUUCACUGGGUUUAAAGGGUGCGUAGGAGGGCAGGGAAGUCAGUGGUGAAAUCUCCGGGCUUAACUCGGAAACUGCCGUUGAUACUCUCUGUCUUGAAUCCCGUGGAGGUGAGCGGAAUAUGACAUGUAGCGGUGAAAUGCUUAGAUAUGUCAUAGAACACCGAUUGCGAAGGCAGCUCACUAAGCCGCAACUGACGCUGAGGCUCGAAAGCGUGGGGAGCAAACAGG
rnacentral:rRNA from 1 species